rnacentral:misc_RNA from 1 species
GCUAAUUUAGUAUUUUGAUAUUUGGUUAGAGAAGUCAUGGAAGGACUGUUCUUAAUGACUAUUGUCAGGCAUCUGUACAAUAUUAGUUUUUGAGUAGGUUAUAAAACCAACUUUUUAAAUCUGUGACAAUUAGUGAGCAGAAAAUUUCAGUUCGCUAAGAAUGUAUUAUAGGCAACUUUAUUGGAUAGGUGAACUUUUAAGAUCUUUUACAUUUCUGAACACCAUAGACUAUGAUAGUGAACUGAUGUCAUUUUUUGCACUUAAUCAUUUCCUUGAUUUACAUAUUUUUCAGGUCCUUGACCCCCCAAGAUU